UACGAAGGGUGCAAGCGUUACUCGGAAUUACUGGGCGUAAAGCGUGCGUAGGCGGUUCGUUAAGUCUGUCGUGAAAGCCCUGGGCUCAACCUGGGAAUUGCGAUGGAUACUGGCGAGCUAGAGUACGGUAGAGGAUGGUGGAAUUCCCGGUGUAGCGGUGAAGUGCGUAGAGAUCGGGAGGAACACCCGUGGCGAAGGCGGCCAUCUGGACCAGUACUGACGCUGAGGCACGAAAGCGUGGGGAGCAAACAGG
rnacentral:rRNA from 1 species